ensembl:snRNA U6 U6 spliceosomal RNA
GUGCUCACUUCGGCAGCACAUAUACUAAAAUCGGAUGCAUACAGAUUAGAUUAGCAUGGCCCCUGUGCAAGGAUGACACGAAAAUUUGUGAACCAUUCCAUAUUUUU